rnacentral:lncRNA from 1 species
AAAAUUAAACAAGGUUGAAAGGCCUUGGCGUUACCUGUAAGUCUUACGAGUUGGGUGCGUCAGAAAAAGAAAAUAAAACAAGGUUGAAAGGCCUUGGCGUUACCUGUAAGUCUUACGAGUUGGGUACGUCAGAAAAAGAAAAAUUAAACAAGGUUGAAAGGCCUUGGCGUUACCUGUAAGUCUUACGAGUUGGGUACGUCAGAAAAAGAAAAUAAAACAAGGUUGAAAGGCCUUGGCGUUACCUGUAAGUCUUACGAGUUGGGUACGUCAGAAAAAGAAAAUUUAAACAAGGUUGCAAGGCCUUGGCGUUACCCGUAGGGAGCGUCAGAAAAAGGUACAACAAAGAAAGGCGAAAUUAUC